rnacentral:SRP_RNA from 1 species
GCUGGGUGUGGUGGUGCACACCUGUAAUCCCAGCUACUAGGAAGGCUGAGGCAGGAGAAUUGCUUGAACCCAGGAGGCGGAGGUUGCAGUGAGCCGAGAUCAUGCCAUUGCACUCCAGCCUGGGCAACAGAGCGAGAUUCUGUCUCAA